rnacentral:rRNA from 1 species
ACGAACGCUGGCGGCGUGCUUAACACAUGCCAGUCGAACGGUGAAGCGCCUUCCUUUUUGGUGGGUGUGGAUGAGUGGCGAACGGGUGAGUAACACGUGAGUAACCUGCCCCCUUCUUCUGGAUAACCGCAUGAAAGUGUGGCUAAUACGGGAUAUUCUGGGUCUGUCGCAUGAUGGGUCUGGGAAAGAUAUUGUUUCGGUGGGGGAUGGGCUCGCGGCCUAUCAGCUUGUUGGUGGGGUGAUGGCCUACCAAGGCGGUGACGGGUAGCCGGCCUGAGAGGGUGGCCGUCCCAAUGGGGAUGGGGCCCCGGCCCGGCUUCUAAGGGGGGCAGGCGGGGGGAAGUAUGGACCAUGGGGGGAAGGCUGGUGCCGCCGCGGCGGGUGAGGGAUGGAGGGCCUCGGGUUGGGAACCUCUUUCGCCAGUGAAGCAGGCCUGCCUCGUUUGUGGGUGGGUUGACGGUAGCUGGAUAAGAAGCGCCGGCUAACUACGUG